ACACGUAGGGGCCUGACGUUGUUCGGAAUCAUUGGGCGUAAAGGGCGCGCAGGCGGCCGUCCAAGUCCGGUGUUAAAUGGUCGGGCUCAACCCGAUCAUGCGCUGGAAACUGGGCGGCUUGAGUCCCGUAGGGGAUGCCGGAAUUCCAGGUGUAGGGGGGAAAUCUGUAGAUAUCUGGAAGAACACCGAUGGCGAAGGCAGGCAUCUGGCCGGAGACUGACGCUGAGGCGCGAAGGCGCGGGGAGCGAACAGGUUUAGAUACCCUGGUAGUCCGCGCAGUAAACGAUGCGCACCAGGUGUCGGGCGGCAGCGCCCGGUACCGGAGCUAACGCGAUGAGUGCGCCGCCUGGGGAGUAUGCCCGCAAGGGUGAAACUCAAAGGAAUUGACGGGG
rnacentral:rRNA from 1 species